UACGGAGGUGGCAAGCGUUGCUCGGAAUCACUGGGCGUAAAGGGCGCGUAGGCGGGGAGGUAAGUCGGGUGUGAAAUCCCCAGGCUCAACCUGGGAACUGCGUCUGAUACUGGAUGGCUUGAAUCCGGGAGAGGGAUGCAGAAUUCCAGGUGUAGCGGUGAAAUGCGUAGAUAUCUGGAGGAAUACCGGUGGCGAAGGCGGCAUCCUGGACCGGCAUUGACGCUGAGGAGCGAAAGCCAGGGGAGCAAACGGG
rnacentral:rRNA from 1 species